UGGGAGCUUGCUCCCGGAAGACCAAGUGGCGAACGGGUGAGUAUUACGUGAGAAACCUACCCCGGAGUGGGGAAUAACCCGAGGAAACUCGGACUAAUACCGCAUACCUUCCGAGGAUCGCAUGAUCCACGGAAGAAAGAAUUUCGCUCUGGGAGGGUCUCGCGACCUAUCAGCUAGUUGGUGGGGUAACGGCCUACCAAGGCAACGACGGGUAGCUGGUUUGAGAGAACGAUCAGCCACACUGGAACUGAGACACGGUCCAGACUCCUACGGGAGGCAGCAGUAGGGAAUCUUGCGCAAUGGGCGAAAGCCUGACGCAGCAACGCCGCGUGCGGGAUGACGGCCUUCGUGGUUGUAAACCGCUUUCAGCAGGGACGAAAAUGACGGUACCUGCAGAAGAAGUCCCGGCUAACUACGUGCCAGCAGCCGCGGUAAUACGUAGGGGACAAGCGUUGUCCGGAUUCAUUGGGCGUAAAGAGCUCGUAGGCGGUCCAGUAAGUUGGGUGUGAAAGCUCCGGGCUCAACCCGGAGAGGUCACCCAAAACUGCUGUGACUAGAGUCCAGUAGAGGAGCGUGGAAUUCCUGGUGUAGCGGUGAANUGCGCAGAUAUCAGGAGGAACANCAGCAGCGAAGGCGGCGCUCUGGGCUGGAACUGACGCUGAGGAGCGAAAGCGUGGGUAGCAAACAGGAUUAGAUACCC
rnacentral:rRNA from 1 species